rnacentral:rRNA from 1 species
AGUAACACGUGGAUAACCUACCUAUAAGACUGGGAUAACUUCGGGAAACCGGAGCUAAUACCGGAUAAUAUAUUGAACCGCAUUGUUCAAUAGUGAAAGACGGUUUUGCUGUCACUUAUAGAUGGAUCCGCGCUGCAUUAGCUAGUUGGUAAGGUAACGGCUUACCAAGGCAACGAUGCAUAGCCGACCUGAGAUGGUGAUCGGCCACACUGGAACUGAGACACGGUCCAG